AUAUAAUUUUUAUUUAACGUCAAGUGGUAUGUCUCCAUGGCAGAUGACGCUAGUUUUGUUUUCAAGUAAUAUAACACAACGAUAAGUCGAAGAAACAUUUUACUUAUGACUAGAGUCCUAAAUAAUCAGAGAAGCGCAAUCGUUACCCCCUCCAUGCUUCCCAUGGUCGCCAUGUUGGGCCCGCAGCUGUCCAUAUGUACACACGCAGCUUGUCUAUUUCGUCCAAGUAGGUUAUGCAGAAACGUUGUAAUUUUAAUUCUGAACUUGUAGCAACGUUAAAGAGAAGUUAAAGUUUCGGAAUAUCACAUUAAAUUGAAAAAUGGAGAUCAAUUUGUUAUUCAUUGUCUAGGAGCUGGCUCUUUUUAAUAAAGGGGAACAACGAUAUAAUAAGGCUCAUAACAUAUCUAUUCACGAAUCAAAUUCUACAAAGAUUUAUUCUAUUGAAGAAAGACAUUCAAUCUCUUCUAUACUGGUUCGCAAAGUAAAAUGUUGUACAAUUGAUGAACUGAUAUUACAGUGUAACAAAGCAUCACAAGUUAUUCAAGACUUAACAGUUGAGCGUAAUUUAGGCUUGCAGCAGUUGCGUAAGAUGUUCAGUAAGAUUGUUCAAAUGGAGAAGGCAUUGCGAAGAUUACAGCCUACUGUCACUAAAAGGAAUUCCAAUAAGUAACAAAGAAAAUGUUGACAAAUCUAAUUAUUGUGUCACUGUUUAGAUAUAUUUAGGAUAACUUUUAUGAUAAUAUAUUUUAUAUCAUAGUUGUAAUAUUUUCUUUAAAAUAAAUGACAAUCGUACAUAA